AUGGCGACCGGCGCACGGGUGAGUAACACGUAUCCAACCUGCCGAUGACUCGGGGAUAGCCUUUCGAAAGAAAGAUUAAUACCCGAUGGCAUAGUUCUUCCGCAUGGUAGAACUAUUAAAGAAUUUCGGUUAUCGAUGGGGAUGCGUUCCAUUAGCUUGUUGGCGGGGUAACGGCCCACCAAGGCAUCGAUGGAUAGGGGUUCUGAGAGGAAGGUCCCCCACAUUGGAACUGAGACACGGUCCAAACUCCUACGGAAGGCAGCAG
rnacentral:rRNA from 1 species